rnacentral:rRNA from 1 species
AUGAGGUUUGAAACAUUCGAAGAAAGUAAGAACUUCUACAACGUAUAUGCAAAGCAUGCUGGUUUUGCUGUCAGGGAAGGCCCCAAGAUUAAGACCAGAGCCUACCUUUAUUGCACGUGCCAUGGAGUUUAUGAAUCAAAGGUGUCUGAAGCAAAUAGACAGCAUAACAAGACGACAGCCAGAAGUAACUGCGGGGCUAAAAUGAGGCUGAAGAAGGAAAAGGAUGGAACAUUUGUCGUAAAAGAGAUAGUCUGGGAACACAACCACAUGCUACAGCUCACCGCAGAAAUGCUUGUCUUCUUGCAUCCCACAAAAACUUUGACAAAACAAUCUUGGAGAAAGCAAAGAAUUCAAGGAUUGAUGAUGUGGGCGAUGUCCUAA